UGAGGAACAUGACCUUCGGCGGGGGAUAGCCGGCCCAACGGCCGGGUAAUACCGCGUACGACCACUUUGGGACAUCCCUCGGUGGUGAAAGCAGCAAUGCGCCGAUGGAGUGCCUCGCGGCCUAUCAGCUAGUUGGUGAGGUAACGGCUCACCAAGGCGACGACGGGUAGCUGGUCUGAGAGGAUGGCCAGCCACAUUGGAACUGAGACACGGUCCGGACUCCUACGGGAG
rnacentral:rRNA from 1 species